rfam:Picea glauca, whole genome shotgun sequence.
GCAACGGUGUCUUUAGACACCACCACUACUCUCAGAUAUGUUCUC